AAGUCGGACGGCAAGCACCAGCAAUGGUGCNUAGAGUGGCGGACUGGUGAGUAACGCGUGGGUGACCUACNUACUGGACGGGGAUAGCCGUUAGAAAUAGCGGGUAAUACCGGAUAUGGUUGACUUACUGUGGUAAGGCAAAGAAAGGAGCUCUGGCUCCGCCAGUGGAUGGGCCCGCGUCCCAUUAGCUAGUUGGUGAGGUAACGGCCCACCAAGGCGAUGAUGGGUAGCCGGCCUGAGAGGGUGAACGGCCACAUUGGGACUGAGAUACGGCCCAAACUCCUACGGGAGGCAGCAGCUAAGAAUAUUCCGCAAUGGACGAAAGUCUGACGGAGCGACGCCGCGUGGAUGACGAAGGCCGGAAGGUUGUAAAAUCCUUUUGCGGACGAAGAAUAAGGCGGGUAGGGAAUGACCCGUUGAUGACGCUAGUCCGUGAAUAAGCCCCGGCUAAUUACGUGCCAGCAGCCGCGGUAACACGUAAGGGGCGAGCGUUGUUCGGAAUUAUUGGGCGUAAAGGGCGCGUAGGCGGUUAUGUAAGUCUGGCGUGAAAGGCCGGGGCUUAACCCCGGGACUGCGUUAGAAACUGUGUAACUGGAGUCAUGGAGGGGGAGUUGGAAUUCCGAGUGUAGGGGUGAAAUCUGUAGAUAUUCGGAAGAACACCGGUGGCGAAGGCGAACUUCCAGCCGAUGACUACGCUAGGCGCGAAAG
rnacentral:rRNA from 1 species